ACUUAGAUAAUUUAAUAUAAAAUAUUGAUUUGUGGUGUCAAAAAUGUGAAUAAUAGUUCAUUUUAAGUU
rnacentral:tRNA from 1 species